CCGGGCGACGGCUCUGGCCGGACGCGCCGUCGGAGGAAAGUCCGAGCUCCGCAGGGCAAGGGUGCCGGGUAACGCCCGGGCGUCGUGAGGCGACGGAAAGUGCAGCAGAGAGCAGACCGCCGAUGGUCCCGCUUCACCGCGGGGCACAGGCAAGGGUGAAAGGGUGCGGUAAGGGCGCACCGGGCGUCCGGUGACGGACGUCGCAUGGCAAACCCCACUCGGAGCAAGGCCAAACAGGGACGAGGGGUGGCCCGCCCCGUCUGAGUCUCGGGUAGGCCGCUCGAGGUCGUCGGUAACGACGGUCCCAGAGAAAUGAUCCUCCCCCACUUCGGUGGGGACAGAACUCGGCUUAUUCC
rnacentral:RNase_P_RNA from 1 species